UACAGAGGUCCCAAGCGUUGUUCGGAUUCACUGGGCGUAAAGGGUGCGUAGGUGGUGAGGUAAGUUUGAUGUGAAAUCUCCGGGCUCAACCCGGAAAUGGCAUUGAAUACUAUCUUGCUAGAGGAGUGGAGGGGGGACUGGAAUACUUGGUGUAGCAGUGAAAUGCGUAGAUAUCAAGUGGAACACCAGUGGCGAAGGCGAGUCCCUGGACACUUCCUGACACUGAGGCACGAAAGCUAGGGGGAGCAAACAGG
rnacentral:rRNA from 1 species